rnacentral:lncRNA from 1 species
AUGGGGAGGAAGGACAAUACCAGUGCAGUAAUUCUGUCUUCCGCAAUGAAAGAAACAGCUCUUCGGGUACAAGCCCACUAUGCACAAGGAUCCUGCCAAAACACAGUGGACUUGAGACUUCCACUCCAAAGCACUGAGAGAUUCUUGAUUUCUUUCUCCGAGACUCAGAGGGAUGGACACAGCCCCAGGGACAGCCCUCAUCCUCUCUAGUUCUCAACAGAAGAGGCUUCCUGGUGAGGAACGCAACCUGGGAGACAGCCUGAGGGACUGAGCCCCUCAUUCAGCCCUUACUCAUCAAGUGGCUCCCGUGUGCCUAGCUGGCUUCUAACUUCCAGGGACCCCGCGUCAGCAAUAUUUCUGCUUGUGCAAAGUGUACGUCUUAGUGAGUAAUAACAAAUAAAAGUAACAUAUAAUAUGAACGAAUAAUAAGCUCUAAGAUGAAAAAGAAUCUAGGAAAAUAAUGGACAGACUCAUCACUAGACAAGGACGAGACCUCACUAAAAAGUGACCUUGACAAGAGAUGAGAAAAAAGUAAGGGAGUGAGCCCUGUGAACAGCUGGGGAGAACUUCAGAAGCAGAGCAAACAGUGAGUGCAAAGGCCCUGCUGAAGGACGGAGCUGGCGUGUUCAGGAACAGCAAGAAGCUAUGGAGCCAAAAGGCAAGGACAGUGAGCAGAAAAGUGAGAUGGGGUGGGCUAUUUAGGAUCCACAUACCUCAGCAGACACAGUAAGAAGCAUGGGUUUUAUUCUGAGCCAUUGGUGGGUUUUGAGUGAGGGAAUAGCAUGAUCUGAUUUACCCUGGACUGGCUGCAGUGGGGAGAACAGGCAAGAGGGGACGAGAGUGGAGGCAGAGAGACCACUGAGGAGGCUUCAGCAGUUGUCCAGGGGAGAGAGGAGGCUGACCUGACCUGGGCUGAGAGCAAGAGUGAUGGGGAGAAGGAAGCAGAUUCAGGAUGCCUUUUGUAAGGAGCCAUGAGACUUGCUGAGUAGGACGCCAGGUGUAAGGGGCGCCCAGACUCACCCUGUGCUCAUCCUGGCCCCAGAAGCUGGUGGCACAAGGCGCCACUCCCUCAUCAACCGGCGGCUCCGAUUCUUUGAGAUCUGGGGCCUUACUGACCCUGUAGGGACAGCCCCUCCCAGCAGGAGCCAGUUCCCAGAGAUAGCAAAUGACUCCCCUGGGAGCACAUCUUCCAUCUGAAUUCAGAGCCCAUGCCCCAAACAUCUUCCAUAUCAGGCUCUCAUACUCUGGACCAUUGUCCACCAGCUCUGGUCACCCAGGUACCAGACAACUGGAGACAGAGACAGCUCUGAGCCCCGGAGCCUGCUACAAUUAUCUGAGUAGCCAAUCCUAGGGCUUCCUUGAUAGCUCAGCUGAUAAAGCAUCUUCCUGCAAUGCAGGAGACCCCAGCUCCUGGGUUCAAGAAGUUCCCCUGGAGAAGGAAUAGGCUACACACCUGUAUUCUUGGGCUUCCCUGAUGGCUCGGAUAGUAAAGAAUAUGCCUGCAAUGCAGGAGACCUGGGUUCGGAUCCCUAGGUUGGAAAGAUCCCCUGGAGGAAGGCAUGGCAACCCACUCCAGUAUUCUUGCCUGGAGAAUCUCCAAGGACAGAGGAGCCUGAUGGGCUCCUCUGGGGUCACAAAGAGUCGGACACAACUGAGUGACUGAGCACAGCACAGCGCAGCCAAUCCUAAGUCUACUUCUCCUGCUUGCUGUGCUUUUCUCUCAAAAACCUACAAUAAAGGCUCUUGCCCAUGUUUUCACCUCUUCUGUUUGCUGACUAACCCUGGUGCUCCCCGUGCAGCCCUGCAUGGCAUGGUGUGCCCCCUCUCCUUAAGAACUGUGAGUAACAAAUGAUCUUUUCAAAGGCAGAGUGCCCUGGUCUGUUGGUCUCCCCACACACUUGCUCUCGGGGUCAUCUUGGAGCCACCACCCUCUCCUAACUUCUGCCAGGAACAGGUGUUUGGGGAGCUGUUAUUCUGCAGCCUCAAAGUGUCUCACAGCAGAGAAGGAACACUUGGAACUCAGGCAGCUCUUUCCUAAACCCCAUCAGCAACUCCCCCCAACAAGGGGUCCCACUCCUGACCCACCGCAGUUGCAGUCAGGCCUCCAAAUAUAGGGCUGGCACCUGUGUGAGUGUGUGAGUGUGUGUGCACGUCUGUGUGUGUUUGCGCACAUACAUAUGGGGGGGGGGUGGGUGGCAGCUGCCACCCUGACGCAGAGCCCAGCAUCACAGGACAUAAAUGAAAUAUUAUAACACGGAGUGCGUUGGGCUGCCCAGACAUGCUUCCAAAGGAAGCCUCUUCUUUCAUUUUAAAACAAAGGUAACUUUGAUGAAGCAGCUAU